CAGAAAAGUUAUGGUCAAGGCCAACAAUUAGACCAUCUUCAAUAUUUUCAGAAAUUUUGUCCAAUGGCUAAACAGAGCUUGCAAAUCCAUAGGAGAGUCCUAGUUAGGGGAGUAAAAGUUGACUGGUGGUCAGAUUCUCAGAUUCUAGAGCUUUCAGAAAACAAGCCGAUACUCUAGUGAUAGCUGAAACAUGGACUCAAAGAGUGCUGAGGCUGAGUUCCUUUAUAACCUAUAUUGACGAAAGUCCAAUAAUAUUGAACUGCUGCAAGGUGUAAAUCACUGAGUAUAAUAUACCUAGUAAUGUAAGGGAGAAGCUCCCAAUCUCCAAACAUUUAGGUUAAGAGCCUGAGGAUUCUGGGCCUUGAGCCAUAACUGGGAUGUCCCAAGGAGGUUCCACUGCUAAUCUCAUCAAUAAUACGAACCAUGGUC